rnacentral:lncRNA from 1 species
CCACAGUGCCAGAGAUUUCUAUCAGUUUUGGAAUUCUUUUUUCUACAACAGGGCCAUUUUUCUUCCCAAGACUGGAAAAUUAAUGAAAUGAAGAUAGAAACACCACAGAAAAGAUGAGAAAGAAUCUUCAGCAUCUAUGAUUUCUACUUCAGAUCGGCACAAUGUGAUGACACAUUCCUCUUGUGCAGAUAAUUGAACAAGCACUUAGGGAAUCUACCAAGAGAAGCCUCACCCACUGUACCUUUACCAGGCAUCAAAAAACUGAAUACAGAAUAAAGAGUUGAAGGCCCAAAUUUUCAGAAUCACCAACACAUGCUACUUCCCUUGGCCUGAUCAUCCUAUAUUCAUGAGGGAUGUGAAAUGUGACAACUUGCAUAAUUUUUCUCCUUUUCUUCAUCUUCCAUUUGCUUUUGUCUUUGACCAGGUCUUCUCAUCAUUGCAAAACCACGGAAAUAUUUUGUCAGUGAAUACUGAAAUAAGGCAAGAUCUGUUUACCAAUCCGGAAGUAAUCUUAUAUUUGAUGUUCCCAGGCCCGUACUUCAGGGAGAAGCAAGAACAACACUCAAGAACAGUAUUAUGUAUGAUCUUAUUGUGUUAAUGUAAAAAGAAUCAAAGUUCAGAGAUUGGCUAUAAAUUUUAGGUAAAAAAGAAGAAAAAUUUCUGUAGGAAAAAACUGUACAUAUCUUCAUAAUGGUCCUCUUGAGCUUGCUGUAUCUAAUGCUAAGAUACUGAAGUGUAGAUUCAAACUUCAAGAGGAAGAGUAAAAAUCUGUACAACUCUAAUAUAAAUAAUUUUUAGACCUAGAGCAGAGCUCAUACAAAUUGAAAGUACUUUAUCAAAAAGUAAAGUCCAAAAAGGGAACUCUUAAUGCUGAACUAGCAGACUGGCACUAGAGUUAAGGCUAAAUUUGACUGAUGACAUUAUGAAAAGAUACACAAUUAAAACUGCUGUUAAAACCAACUUCCACAGCUUUUAAAUUAAGAUAAUAAAAUCUAUAUUCUAAGCAAUAUAGCAUUAUCAUUUCUGGCAAUUACUAAAGAAAUAUUAGACAAGAAAUAAAGCAAGAAAAUGUCAUAUGUGUUCCUGAAAUAAAACAAUUAGUAGCAAAAAUCCCAGAAAUGAUACAAAUAAUAGAAUGGGUAU